AGUCGAGCGGGGUCCAUCCAGUGGUAACACUGGUGAAGACCUAGCGGCGAACGGGUGAGUAACACGUGAGAAACCUGCCCCGAAGACCGGGAUAACCCUCCGAAAGGAGAGCUAAUACCGGAUGCCCUCACCGGGCCGCAUGACCUGGUGAGGAAAUGGAUUCCGCUUCGGGAGGGUCUCGCGGCCUAUCAGCUUGUUGGUGAGGUAACGGCUCACCAAGGCUUCGACGGGUAGCUGGUCUGAGAGGAUGAUCAGCCACACUGGGACUGAGACACGGCCCAGACUCCUACGGGAGGCAGCAGUGGGGAAUCUUGCGCAAUGGGCGAAAGCCUGACGCAGCAACGCCGCGUGGGGGAUGAAGGCUCUCGGGUUGUAAACCCCUUUCAGCAGGGAAGAUUAUGACGGUACCUGCAGAAGAAGCCCCGGCCAACUACGUGCCAGCAGCCGCGGUAAUACGUAGGGGGCAAGCGUUGUCCGGAUUUAUUGGGCGUAAAGAGCUUGUAGGCGGCUUGGUAAGUCGAGUGUGAAAACUCCAGGCUCAACCUGGAGACGCCAUUCGAUACUGCCAUGGCUAGAGUCCGGUAGAGGAGCACGGAAUUCCUGGUGUAGCGGUGAAAUGCGCAGAUAUCAGGAGGAACACCAGCAGCGAAGGCGGUGCUCUGGGCCGGUACUGACGCUGAGAAGCGAAAGCGUGGGGAGCGAACAGGAUUAGAUACCCUGGUAGUCCACGCCGUAAACGUUGGGCACUAGGUGUGGGUCCCUAUCGACGGGAUCUGUGCCGUAGCUAACGCAUUAAGUGCCCCGCCUG
rnacentral:rRNA from 1 species